rnacentral:lncRNA from 1 species
AAUAUGAUAAAAGAUGAUAAAAGCUCUUUAGAAUAAGUUCUUGGGGAGUAUUUAUAUGCCCUAGGUCAAGUAGGACUCAAAAAUACCCCAAAAUCGCGUAAAAGGGUGAAAAACGGACUUUUGGGCGAAAACUCGGCGACUCGCGCGGCCUCUCGCGCGGCCGCGCGGCUGGCCCGCGUGACGAAACAGAACUCUUGACAGCUUUGCGCAGCGAUUUUGUUUUGGCUCGUUCUCUUUCGUCCGAACUCCAAUUUAUGAUCCGUUUGCACCCACGAACUCUUAUCGAGACGAACUACAACUUGUAUUUCAGUCAAUUCUUUCACAUUCUGCUUCCUUAUUUCUGAAAAUUCGUUCAAACACAAGCAAGUAACAAGUUCUUGGUCAUAAACGAAUAUAAGCUCAAAUAGACCAUCAAACACACAAAAUCCUCACAACUAAGCAUAAAAAAUGACACACCAAGAGGUAAAAAUAAUGCAUGUUUAUCAACCCUCAAACUGAACUAUUGUCCGUCCUCGGACAAAACAAAGAUGGACCAAGAAUGAAUCAACAAGAGCGUAGAGAAAAGUAGAUAACAUUGUGGCUUCAGAUUUGUCAGCAAAAAUAAUGAUAUGCAUUUGUAUCUCUUAUCAUCAAGAUAUCACACUCAUGACAAACUCAAAUUAUGGUCUCAAUGAAUUGCAAUCCUCACCAAAAAGAUAAAGAAUAUAUGAACUCUCAACUCUCAAGUGUAUCAAUUAAAAAGGACGUGUAUACGCUCAGUUCAAGCUAAACAAGUACUCAUCCAUAAGCUUGUCAAUCGUCUCACCUCUCCACCACUAAAUGUGUGCUCCUAUAACCAAGAUCAAAAAGGUCUUUAUUGAGGGUUGUAAUGUAGGCUCUUUGGUAGGGUAGGAUAUAUUUGGCUAAGUGACUAAAAGAUGCUCUCAAUGUAGCAUGAUCACCAACCUUAUAGCAUUCUUACUCAAUUCUAUCCUCCACCUUCCAUAAAACCAAAUUUUUCAAUAUAUAAUCCAUCACAACUCAUCAAUUAUUUCUCAUGACAUUAUGACUUUCUAAUGCAUCCUAUGUACCCAUCUUUUUUCCACUUUUCUCAUCUUUUUUUUUUCUUUUUCUUUUUUUCUUUUUUUUUCAACAACUUGUAGGGUACUAGGAUUAUUUUCAAUCAAGAUCAAAGUUCAUAAACCAUUAUCACGCAUCUCCACAAACCAACUACCCCAUAACAACAAUCUCCAAGCUCCCACCCACAGCUAAAUCAAAUAAAAUAGAAAAUAAGGCUCAAAGGGGGCGAACUAGGAUCAUAUAUAGUAAAAGGGCAAGUAUGGGAUAUAUAGGCUAGCAAAGAUGGUCUUCUAUCAUCUCAAAGUUAUUAAGCACACUAUGUGACCUCGAGGGAGAAACCAAGACAAGUUCUAGUGAGAAACAUGCAUGCUCGAACAAUCACUCAAGAAUGGCCCGCGUGACGAAACAGAACUCCUGACAGCUUUGCGCAGCGAUUUUGUUUUGACUCGUUCUCCCUCGUCCGAACUCCGAUUUAUGAUCCGUUUGCGCUCACAAACUCCUAUCGAGACGAAAUAUAACUUAUAUUUCAGCCAGUUCUUCCAAAUUCUGCUUCAUUGUUUCUGAAAAUUCGUUCAAACACAAGCAAGUAACAAGUUCUUGACCAUAAACGAAUAUAAGCUCAAAUAGACCAUCAAACACACAAAAUCCUCACAACUAAGCAUCAAAAAUGACACACCAAGAGGUAAAAAUGCAUGUUUAUCAA